AGCGAACGCUGGCGGUAUGCUUAACACAUGCAAGUCGAACGGCAACACAGUAAUUGCUUGCUCUUACGGGUGGCGAGUGGCGGAUGGGUGGGGAAUACAUCGGAAUCUACUUUUUCGUGGGGGAUAACGUAGGGAAACUUACGCUAAUACCGCAUACGACCUACGGGUGUAAUCAGGGGAUCUUCUGACCUUGCGCGAUUGAAUGAGCCGAGGUCGGAUUAGCUAGUUGGCGGGGUAAACGCCCACCAAGGCGACGAUCCGUAGCUGGUCUGAGAGGAUGAUCAGCCAGACUGGGAGUGAGACCAGGUCCAGACUCCUACGGGAGCCAGCAGUGGGGGAUAUUGAGCAAUGGGCGCUAGCGUGAUCCAGCCGUACCGCGUGGGUGGCGAAGGCCUUCGGGUUGUAACGCCCUUUUGUUGGGAAAGAAAAGCAGCAGGUUAAUACGCCGCUGUUCUGACGGUAGCCGAAGAAGAAGCACCGGCUAACUUCGUG
rnacentral:rRNA from 1 species